GACGAACGCUGGCGGCGUGCUUAACACAUGCAAGUCGAACGAGAAUCUGUGGAAAGAGGAUUCGUCCAAUUGAAGCAGAGGACAGUGGCGGACGGGUGAGUAACGCGUGAGGAACCUGCCUUUCAGAGGGGGACAACAGUUGGAAACGACUGCUAAAUACCGCAUAACAUAUAGGAUGUCGCAUGGCAUUUAUAUCAAAGAUUUANCGCUGAAAGAUGGCCCUCGCGUCUGAUUAGCCUAGUUGGUGAGGUAACGGCCCACCAAGGCGACGAUCAGUAGGGGUUCUGAGAGGAAGGUCCCCCACAUUGGAACUGAGACACGGUCCAAACUCCUACGGGAGGCAGCAGUGAGGAAUAUUGGUCAAUGGACGAGAGUCUGAACCAGCCAAGUAGCGUGCAGGAUGACGGCCCUA
rnacentral:rRNA from 1 species